GGCCGUGCAUUGGUACUAUCGGCCUGACCUGACAAUACCUGAAAUUCCACCAAAGCCUGGAGAACUCUAAAUGGAGCUUUUGGGACUGAAAGAGAGACGCCACAAACCUCAUGUUUCACAGCAGUAGAAACUUAAAAAUAACAGCUGUGCCAAGAAUUCUGUGAAUAAUGUCUUAAAUAUGUAUUUUAAACUUUAUUAAGUAAAACUACUUCUUAAAACACUUAAUUUAGGGGGCUCAAUGGCUCAGAGGUUAAGAGCACUGUCUGCUCUUACAGAGGUUCUGAGUUCAAUUCCCAGCAACCACUUGGUGGUUCAU
rnacentral:lncRNA from 1 species